rnacentral:rRNA from 1 species
GUUUUAUUUCGGCAUCGAGAUGGAACCAAAGGAGGAAUCCGGUCUGAGAUGGACUCGCGUCCGAUUAGGUAGUUGGUGAGGCAACGGCUCACCAAGCCGACGAUCGGUAGCCGGACUGAGAGGUCGACCGGCCACAUUGGGACUGAGACACGGCCCAGACUCCUACGGGAGGCAGCAGUGGGGAAUAUUGGGCAAUGGGCGCAAGCCUGACCCAGCAACGCCGCGUGAAGGACGAAGGCCUUCGGGUUGUAAACUUCUUUGAUCAGGGACGAACAGAAUGACGGUACCUGAAGAACAAGCCACGGCUAACUACGUGCCAGCAGCCGCGGUAAUCCCCCCG